rnacentral:rRNA from 1 species
AGCGUACACGGUGGAUGCCCUGGCAGUCAGAGGCGAUGAAGGACGUGCUAAUCUGCGAAAAGCGCCGGUAAGGUGAUAUGAACCGUUAUAACCGGCGAUGUCCGAAUGGGGAAACCCGGUGCACUUCGGUGCAUCAUCGUUAGCUGAAUACAUAGGCUAACGAGGCGAACCGGGGGAACUGAAACAUCUAAGUACCCCGAGGAAAAGAAAUCAACCGAGAUUCCCCCAGUAGCGGCGAGCGAACGGGGAACAGCCCAGAGCCUGAAUCAGCUUGUGUGUCAGUGGAACGGUCUGGAAAGGCCGGCGAUACAGGGUGACAGCCCCGUACACGAAGGCACACAGGCUGUGAGCUCGAUGAGUAGGGCGGGACACGUGAUAUCCUGUCUGAAGAUGGGGGGACCAUCCUCCAAGGCUAAAUACUCCUGACUGACCGAUAGUGAACCAGUACCGUGAGGGAAAGGCGAAAAGAACCCCGGCGAGGGGAGUGAAACAGAACCUGAAACCGUGUACGUACAAGCAGUGGGAGCCUUCGUAAGAGGGUGACUGCGUACCUUUUGUAUAAUGGGUCAGCGACUUAUAUUCUGUAGCAAGGUUAACCGUAUAGGGGAGCCGAAGGGAAACCGAGUCUUAAUUGGGCGUUAAGUUGCAGGGUAUAGACCCGAAACCCGGUGAUCUAGCCAUGGGCAGGUUGAAGGUUGGGUAACACUAACUGGAGGACCGAACCGACUAAUGUUGAAAAAUUAGCGGAUGACCUGUGGCUGGGGGUGAAAGGCCAAUCAAACCGGGAGAUAGCUGGUUCUCCCCGAAAGCUAUUUAGGUAGCGCCUCGUGAACUCAUCUCCGGGGGUAGAGCACUGUUUCGGCUAGGGGGCCAUCCCGGCUUACCAACCCGAUGCAAACUGCGAAUACCGGAGAAUGUUAUCACGGGAGACACACGGCGGGUGCUAACGUCCGUCGUGAAGAGGGAAACAACCCAGACCGCCAGCUAAGGUCCCAAAGUCAUGGUUAAGUGGGAAACGAUGUGGGAAGGCCCAGACAGCCAGGAUGUUGGCUUAGAAGCAGCCAUCAUUUAAAGAAAGCGUAAUAGCUCACUGGUCGAGUCGGCCUGCGCGGAAGAUGUAACGGGGCUAAACCAUGCACCGAAGCUGCGGCAGCGACGCUUAUGCGUUGUUGGGUAGGGGAGCGUUCUGUAAGCCUGUGAAGGUGUGCUGUGAGGCAUGCUGGAGGUAUCAGAAGUGCGAAUGCUGACAUAAGUAACGAUAAAGCGGGUGAAAAGCCCGCUCGCCGGAAGACCAAGGGUUCCUGUCCAACGUUAAUCGGGGCAGGGUGAGUCGACCCCUAAGGCGAGGCCGAAAGGCGUAGUCGAUGGGAAACAGGUUAAUAUUCCUGUACUUGGUGUUACUGCGAAGGGGGGACGGAGAAGGCUAUGUCAGCCGGGCGACGGUCGUCCCGGUUUAAGCGUGUAGGCUGACUUUCCAGGCAAAUCCGGAGAGUUAAGGCUGAGGCGUGAUGACGAGGCACCACGGUGCUGAAGUGACAAAUGCCCUGCUUCCAGGAAAAGCCUCUAAGCAUCAGGUAACAUCAAAUCGUACCCCAAACCGACACAGGUGGUCAGGUAGAGAAUACCAAGGCGCUUGAGAGAACUCGGGUGAAGGAACUAGGCAAAAUGGUGCCGUAACUUCGGGAGAAGGCACGCUGACAUGUAGGUGAAGCCCCUGCGGGUGGAGCUGAAGUCAGUCGAAGAUACCAGCUGGCUGCAACUGUUUAUUAAAAACACAGCACUGUGCAAACACGAAAGUGGACGUAUACGGUGUGACGCCUGCCCGGUGCCGGAAGGUUAAUUGAUGGGGUUAUCGCAAGAGAAGCUCCUGAUCGAAGCCCCGGUAAACGGCGGCCGUAACUAUAACGGUCCUAAGGUAGCGAAAUUCCUUGUCGGGUAAGUUCCGACCUGCACGAAUGGCGUAAUGAUGGCCAGGCUGUCUCCACCCGAGACUCAGUGAAAUUGAACUCGCUGUGAAGAUGCAGUGUACCCGCGGCAAGACGGAAAGACCCCGUGAACCUUUACUACAGCUUGACACUGAACAUUGAGCCUUGAUGUGUAGGAUAGGUGGGAGGCUUUGAAGCGUGGACGCCAGUCUGCGUGGAGCCAACCUUGAAAUACCACCCUUUAAUGUUUGAUGUUCUAACCUGGCGCCGUAAUCCGGCGUGGGGACAGUGUCUGGUGGGUAGUUUGACUGGGGCGGUCUCCUCCCAAAGUGUAACGGAGGAGCACGAAGGUCAGCUAAUCCUGGUCGGACAUCAGGAGGUUAGUGCAAUGGCAUAAGCUGGCUUGACUGCGAGAGUGACGGCUCGAGCAGGUGCGAAAGCAGGUCAUAGUGAUCCGGUGGUUCUGUAUGGAAGGGCCAUCGCUCAACGGAUAAAAGGUACUCCGGGGAUAACAGGCUGAUACCGCCCAAGAGUUCAUAUCGACGGCGGUGUUUGGCACCUCGAUGUCGGCUCAUCACAUCCUGGGGCUGAAGUAGGUCCCAAGGGUAUGGCUGUUCGCCAUUUAAAGUGGUACGCGAGCUGGGUUUAGAACGUCGUGAGACAGUUCGGUCCCUAUCUGCCGUGGGCGCUGGAGAAUUGAGGGGGGCUGCUCCCAGUACGAGAGGACCGGAGUGGACGCAUCACUGGUGUUCGGGUUGUCAUGCCAAUGGCACUGCCCGGUAGCUAAAUGCGGAAGAGAUAAGUGCUGAAAGCAUCUAAGCACGAAACUUGCCCCGAGAUGAGUUCU